GUGGGGAAUAUUGGACAAUGGGCGAAAGCCUGAUCCAGCCAUGCCGCGUGUGUGAAGAAGGUCUUCGGAUUGUAAAGCACUUUAAGUUGGGAGGAAGGGCAGUAAGUUAAUACCUUGCUGUUUUGACGUUACCGACAGAAUAAGCACCGGCUAACUUCGUGCCAGCAGCCGCGGUAAUACGAAGGGUGCAAGCGUUAAUCGGAAUUACUGGGCGUAAAGCGCGCGUAGGUGGUUUUGUAAGUUGGAGGUGAAAGCCCCGGGCUCAACCUGGGAACUGCCUCCAAAACUGCAUGACUAGAGUACGGUAGAGGGUAGUGGAAUUUCCUGUGUAGCGGUGAAAUGCGUAGAUAUAGGAAGGAACACCAGUGGCGAAGGCGACUACCUGGACUGAUACUGACACUGAGGUGCGAAAGCGUGGGGAGCAAACAGGAUUAGAAACCCUAGUAGUCC
rnacentral:rRNA from 1 species